UGAGGAGUUAAAGGUUAUGUAUGAUAUGCUCUGCCUCUGCCUCACUCUGCCACCAGGAACUUGGACCAACAAAAAAUGCUUCGUCGGCCAAAACCCCAGCCUCCCUUUGUGUUCUCGGAGAGGUGGUGCCUCUACAGUCCUCCAUGUUGUGCCUCUAAUUGCUUUCACGAGGGUCUCCAGAGUGAACAGUAGUUGUCAGCAGAGGAGAAAGUGACACGUAUUGAUUUGAAAAUGGGGGCUGGAUCUCAUUAAGGCUUUCCCCCCCGACAAAAUGCCACGCUCUCAUUUCUCCUCAAAAACUGAAGCCCAGCCAAGCCAGCUAAGGUCUUUCUCAGCGUCUGCUGUGCUCCCUCAGGUUAUCCCUCAGGAUGAUGCACUGCACUGUAUCCCUGAAAACUCGCCUGCACAAAACACACUAAGCAGGCAAUGAUGCAGCAUAAUGCUCCCAUAAGGUGCACAACUAAGGUUAAUGCAUAAAGUCAAUUUGGUUCAGAGAAACCUAUCUCUGCUGCAGACCUCCACACAACUCAGUCAGCCAUGUUUAUAGAGUCACUCUAAGUUCAUUCUUUUAGUCGCUGUUCUGGAGCUUUCCAUUGUAUCUUCAUCAACAGAUGUCAUCAGGACGGUUCAACUGCGUGAAUGCCAAAAACCAAACAUUUCCAAACAUUAUUGGUGGCAUGCUUCUGCAAAAUUGGCCCGGGAUCAGGUCACAGAGGCAGUGUUCCAGACAUCCCUCUCCCCGGCAACGCUUUCCAGCUACUCCUGGGGGAUCCUGAGACGCUUCCAGGCCAGAUGGGACAUGUAGCCCCUCCAGCGAGUUCUGGUUCUACCUCUCGGUCUCCUCCCAGCCGCCACCCGCGGACACAAGCUGGGCUCCCGUGCAGCAUACCAGAGCGUGCCACAUGUUCAGUGGCGCACCGAGCCUCCGCCUGUCGCUCAUGAAUUAUUCAUGACCCGGUGCCGACGGAAAAGCUGUGAUGUCAGAGAUUCCAGUUCUCGGUGUCCUGUUUCCUGGGCGGCCACACAGUGACACAGCAGCUC